rnacentral:rRNA from 1 species
UACGUAGGUCCCGAGCGUUGUCCGGAUUUAUUGGGCGUAAAGCGAGCGCAGGUGGUUUAUUAAGUCUGGUGUAAAAGGCAGUGGCUCAACCAUUGUAUGCAUUGGAAACUGGUAGACUUGAGUGCAGGAGAGGAGAGUGGAAUUCCAUGUGUAGCGGUGAAAUGCGUAGAUAUAUGGAGGAACACCGGUGGCGAAAGCGGCUCUCUGGCCUGUAAUUGACACUGAGGCACGAAAGCGUGGGGAUCGAACAGG